UGUUGAUCUUUCAGGUCUUUGCCUUAAUAGUUGCUGUUUGCACAGAGUUCGGCUACCAGGAAUGUUUACUGAGCAUUUGUUGGCCAGCUGUCCAACCCCUUCCAUCCUGCCCCUCUAAAGAGGGUUUCAUCAGAUCCCAUUAAAACCCAGGAGCUUAUUUUAAGACUGUAGACCCUACGAGGCCUCUGGAGUAUUUGUGCUUCUUAUCCUCGUGCAUCAUUUUUUCCACAUUCGCUGCAAUACUCCUUGUUAAGCUUCUAAAAGGCUUUCAGAUGAACCAUAUGGAGAACUAUAUAGGACACGGAUCUAAUCUAGGAGAUUAUUUGAGCUCCUCAAAGCUCACUCAGGGAUUUACCUGAACAGGUGCCAAGGAGGCGAAAGAAAACAUCCCAAGAAAAGGCAAAAAGUUUAGCAACUCACCAGCAGUGAUGUUUUUGUGGCCUCCUCUACUACUCCAUUUUCCUCUGGAAUAAGGAGUGGUAACUGUAAGGGGAAGAGAAUACUGAACUGGGCAGACCCUGCGUUUCCAUUCUAUAAGGUAAAGAAACCCAGAGCGAAUAACCCUUCUUAAAAAAAUGCUGUCUACCACCACCUAGUGGAA
rnacentral:lncRNA from 1 species